rnacentral:rRNA from 1 species
GACGAACGCUGGCGGCGUGCUUAACACAUGCAAGUCGAACGAUAACGCCCUGCUUUUGGGGGGUGCUAGAGUGGAAAAGGGGUGAGUAACGCGUGUGUCCUGUGCACCUCCCUGUGGGAACUCCUCAGAACCGUUGGUCUCAUCGGAGAUAAGAGCUACCGCCGUGGGGUGGGGGUGGGAAAGUUUAGGCGGUUGGGGAUGGACUCGCGGCUUAUGAGCUUGUUGGUGGGGUAGUGGGAUACCAAGGCCUGGACGGGUAGCCGGCCUGAGAGGGUGACCGGCCACACUGGGACUGAGAUACGGCCCAGACUCCUACGGGAGGCAGCAGUGGGGAAUAUUGCACAAUGGGCGGAAGCCUGAUGCAGCAACGCCGCGUGCGGGAUGACGGCCUUCGGGUUGUAAACCGCUUUCACCUGUGACGAAGCGUUAGUGACGGUAAUGGGAGAAGAAGCACCGGCUAACUACGUG